AAUUCUCAACCUCUUCAGCAUUUGGUGCUGGCUUUGAGGCUUGGAUAAUGGAGGUGUUGCAGGCCUUUCCAGGUCAGCUCCUCUGAAAAACAUUAGCGGAACGGUUUGCAAAUCCGUCACAGGUGUUGAUAAUUAUCUAUGCCAGUGGAUUGCUCUCUGUCUUGUUCAGCUGCCAACUUGUCCCAUAUAGGACAAACAUCACUGAAU
rnacentral:misc_RNA from 1 species